CAAUAGCGUAUAUUAAAGUUGUUGCAGUUAAAAAGCUCGUAGUUGGAUUUCUGGCAGAGUAUGCCUGGCCCGCCGUCUAGUACGGUGUGUUUGCCGGUUGCGUAUUCGCCAUCCUGCGGGAGAAUUUGUCUGGGCCUGUUAUGGGUUUUCCGGGCAGAGGGCCCCGUACUUUUACUUUGACAAAAUUAGAGUGUUCAAAGCAGGCAUUAUGCUUGAAUACAUUAGCAUGGAAUAAUGAAAUAGGACUUUGGUUCUAUUUUGUUGGUUUUGAGAGCCAAAGUAAUGAUUGAUAGGGAUCGUUGGGGGUGCUUGUAUUGAACGGCCAGAGGUGAAAUUCACGGAUUCGUUCAAGACAAACUUAUGCGAAAGCAUUCACCAAGGAGGUCUUCUUUAA
rnacentral:rRNA from 1 species